UACGUAGGUGGCAAGCGUUGUCCGGAUUUACUGGGCGUAAAGAGCGCGCAGGCGGUCGUUCAAGUCGCGUGUGAAAGCCCCCGGCUCAACUGGGGAGGGUCACGCGAUACUGAUCGACUCGAAGGCAGGAGAGGGUAGUGGAAUUCCCGGUGUAGUGGUGAAAUGCGUAGAUAUUGGGAAGAACACCGGUGGCGAAGGCGGCGGCCUGGUCCAUUUCUGACGCUGAGGCGCGACAGCGUGGGGAGCAAACAGG
rnacentral:rRNA from 1 species